GGAUGAGUUGCGAACGGGUGAGUAACGCGUAGGUAACCUGCCUGAUAGCGGGGGAUAACUAUUGGAAACGAUAGCUAAUACCGCAUAACAGUUGUGAUUGCAUGAUGACAACUUGAAAGGGGCAAUUGCUCCACUAUUGGAUGGACCUGCGUUGUAUUAGCUAGUUGGUGGGGUAACGGCUCACCAAGGCGACGAUACAUAGCCGACCUGAGAGGGUGAUCGGCCACACUGGGACUGAGACACGGCCCAGACUCCUACGGGAGGCAGCAGUAGGGAAUCUUCGGCAAUGGGGGCAACCCUGACCGAGCAACGCCGCGUGAGUGAAGAAGGUUUUCGGAUCGUAAAGCUCUGUUGUAAGAGAAGAACUGUAGCAGGAGUGGAAAAUCUGCUACUUGACGGUAUCUUACCAGAAAGGGACGGCUAACUACGUGCCAGCAGCCGCGGUAAUACGUAGGUCCCGAGCGUUG
rnacentral:rRNA from 1 species